GUCCAGGGGUAGCCUAGUGGACAUGCACCUGCCCGGUAAGCAGAAGGUUGUGGGUUCGAUUUCCCGCCCCUGGACA